rnacentral:tRNA from 1 species
GCCUAGUUAGCUCAGUUGGCUAGAGCAUGGUGCUGGUAAUGCCAAGGUUGCAGGUUCGAUUCCCGUAUAUGAGACA